AUGCAAGUCGGACGGGAAGUGGUUUUUUCGGUGGCGGACAUGUGAGCAACGCAUAAGAACCUGCCCUUGGGAAGGAAAAAAUAGCUGCUAAUACCUCGUAGGCUGAGGAGCAAAAGGAGGAAUCCGUCGGAUGAGGGGCUUGCAUCUGAUUAGCUAGGUGGUGAUGAAAUAGCUUACCAAGGUAAUGAUCAGUAGUUGGUUCGAGAUGAUGAUCAGCCACACUAGGACUGAGACACAGCAACUAGUUGGAACA
rnacentral:rRNA from 1 species